GAAAAGAUAAUCGUUGGUUUCUAGCCUUCAUUUUGCUAAAAGAGCUCUUUUCU
rnacentral:tRNA from 1 species